ACAUUCCACAGUUGGCCAGAUAUAGCCCUGACUUCUGGGGAGUGUCUGUUUGCAGUGUUGAUGGUCAAAGAUAGAGAUGCACACUCUUAUUUUCUAAAAAUGUGAUUUAAGACUAGACUAAGUAUUCCAGUGGUGACACCAAUGUUCCCUUCUCCCUCCAGUCCUGCAGUAAACCCCUGACUUACUGCAUGGUGCAGAGCAAUGACGACAACAUUGAGCGGGUCCAUAAAUACGUCGGCCAUGAGCCAAGUGGGAGGAGCUUUAAUGAGAUUUCACUGGAUUAUCAAAAGAAACCACACAACCCAAUGAUAAACUCUGGAGCUAUCAUUGUCAGCUCGCUCCUGAAACCUGAGUUAGCCCUCCCUGAUCGCUUCGACUGGACUACCAAAAUGUUGUCUAAAAUGACAGGAGGUGAAUAUCUAUCUUUCAACAAUGCAGUAUUUUUAUCAGAACGAGAAACGGCUGACAGAAAUUUUGCCCUGGCGUACUACAUGAGAGAAAACAAGUGCUUCCCAGAAGGGACAAAAUUACAUGAGGUGCUUGACUUCUAUUUCCAACUGUGCUCCAUUGAAGUGACUUGUGAGUCAGCCUCAGUCAUUGCUGCUACCCUCGCUAAUGGCGGGAUCUGUCCAAUGACGGGGGAGAAAGUCUUCAACUCAGCGGCCGUUAGAAACACUCUCUCCUUGAUGCACUCUUGUGGAAUGUAUGACUACUCCGGAGAGUUUGCUUUCAGGGUUGGACUUCCAGCUAAAUCCGGUGUAUCUGGGACAGUUCUGUUGGUGGUGCCAAAUAUAAUGGGCAUCUGUUUGUGGUCCCCACCGCUAGAUAUGUGGGGUAAUAGCUGUAGAGGCAUCCAGUUCUGUCAGGAACUAGUGAAUGUCUACAACUUCCAUAACUAUGACAAUCUUAAGCAUACAGAGAAGAAGAUGGACCCCACUCGCCUCCGAAUAGACACACUCUCUCAGGAUGUUGUGAACAUUCUGUUUGGAGCUUUCAAUGGAGAUGUAUCAGCAUUAAGGAGGUACUAUUUGCUUGGAUUAGACAUGAACAUUGCAGACUACGAUGGCAGAACAGCGUUACACGUAGCGGCUGCGGAGGGUCAAGAGCAAGCUGUUCGCUUCCUGUUAGAGAUGUGUAACGUCAACGUGAACACCAAAGACAGGUGGGGGUUCACUCCCUUGGAGGAGGCAGAGAGAUUUGAACAUCCAGAGGUAGCCAAGCUACUGAUCAGCUCCAUGAAGAAAAUGGAGCAUCCAGAGACGGAUUAAACAGACAGUAAAUUAUUUUUCAAAAUGUACUCUGUACAUGAAAUGGCUGCUCAUAAGCUUUGGACAGGGGAGUGAUGAUUCCACCAGAAAAAGACAAACAAAGGGAUGGAAAUACUUGUACUAAUUAUACAAAAUUAACAAUAGUAAUAUAUAGGUAUUAUAUAGGUCUGUACUAAGUAUACAGGUUAGAUUUAUUUUCUGUCAGUGUGUACUUUUUCAAAAAGCAAUUUUGUUAUUUAGCAAUAACAAUAUACAGGUAUUAGUUAACUCUAUGCAUAUUUGAAUGGGCGUAACAUAUUUAUUUGGUAUUGAAUCUCAUAUUAUCUGUCUGAUAGGCAUUGUUAGUUUGAUAUCUGCUUGAAUACUCAGAAUGCUCUAUCAAGGGUUUUAUUACUUGAACGAUUUUUUGUUAAUAUUCUACUUGGUUUUAUUUGGUCUUUUGUGAUGUUGAAUUUGCUCAACAUGAGAUUUGUCUCUCGAAAAAAAGCUAAGAACGUUUAACAUUGUGAAAAAACAAAUCUAUAAAACUCAUUUUAUUAUUUUUCUUUAAGAAAUUACAAUUCUUGUUUACAUUAUGUAUUUUUUUUUUCAGUGAAUACAGAUACUCGCAUCAUUUUGUAUUGAAUUUUAUAUUGGUGUAAAUCAAUAAUUAUUUUUAAGUCUUAUAUAAUUUAUUUGCUUAUGAGAAAUAAUUAUAAAGUUAAGACAGAGUAAUAAGGAAUGCAUUAUUUGUUGCUGUUGUUUAUCUUUUUAAUGUUUGAAAUAGCUGUUGGAAUAUUUUUAUUUGAUACCUCCUAAAACUCGAGUGGUAUACAAUAUAAUGUAGAUACCAAUAGUGAUAUAGUGAGUUUUCUGCCAUUUUUACUCGCGUUUGGUUUUUAUUUUUCUGGUACGUGUUCAUUACAGAUGAAUAAUUUACUGCAUUACGACAGAUUUACUUUAUUGUGUUUUAUUGGUUUAUAAAAAAUGAAUUUU
rnacentral:misc_RNA from 1 species